GACGAACGCUGGCGGCGUGCUUAACACAUGCAAGUCGAACGAUGAACCCGGAGCUUGCUCCGGCGGAUUAGUGGCGAACGGGUGAGUAACACGUGAGUAACCUGCCCUUGACUCUGGGAUAACUGCUAGAAAUGGUAGCUAAUACCGGAUACGACCCUCGGCGGCAUCGCCAGGGGGUGGAAAGAAUUUCGGUCAAGGAUGGACUCGCGGCCUAUCAGCUAGUUGGUGAGGUAACGGCUCACCAAGGCGACGACGGGUAGCCGGCCUGAGAGGGUGACCGGCCACACUGGGACUGAGACACGGCCCAGACUCCUACGGGAGGCAGCAGUGGGGAAUAUUGCACAAUGGGCGCAAGCCUGAUGCAGCAACGCCGCGUGAGGGAUGACGGCCUCGG
rnacentral:rRNA from 1 species